CCUACGGGAGGCAGCAGUGAGGAAUAUUGGUCAAUGGACGAGAGUCUGAACCAGCCAAGUAGCGUGAAGGAUGACUGCCCUAUGGGUUGUAAACUUCUUUUAUAUGGGAAUAAAAUGUUCCACGUGUGGGAUUUUGUAUGUACCAUAUGAAUAAGGAUCGGCUAACUCCGUGCCAGCAGCUGCGGCAAUACGGAGGAUCCGAGCGUUAUCCGGAUUGAUUGGGUUUAAAGGGAGCGUAGGUGGAUUGUUAAGUCAGUUGUGAAAGUUUGUGGCUCAACCGUAAAAUUGCAGUUGAAACUGGCAGUCUUGAGUACAGUAGAGGUGGGCGGAAUUCGUGGUGUAGCGGUGAAAUGCUUAGAUAUCACGAAGAACUCCGAUUGCGAAGGCAGCUCACUGGACUGCAACUGACACUGAGGCUCGAAAGUGUGGGUAUCAAACAGGAUUAGAUACCCGGGUAGUC
rnacentral:rRNA from 1 species